rnacentral:rRNA from 1 species
GGGGGGGGGUGGGGGGGGGGCGGGGGGGGGGGGGGCGGGGGGGGGCACGGGGAGAGCGGGCGCUUACGGGUGGCGAGUGGCGGACGGGUGGGGAAUACAUCGGAAUCUACUUGUUCGUGGGGGAUAACGUGGGGAAACGUCCGCUAACACCGCAUACGACCUACGGGUGAAAGCAGGGGAUCUUCGGACCUUGCGCGAUUGAAUGAGCCGAUGUCGGAUUAGCUAGUUGGCGGGGUAAAGGCCCACCAAGGCGACGAUCCGUAGCUGGUCUGAGAGGAUGAUCAGCCACACUGGAACUGAGACACGGUCCAGACUCCUACGGGAGGCAGCAGUGGGGAAUAUUGGACAAUGGGCGCAAGCCUGAUCCAGCCAUACCGCGUGGGUGAAGAAGGCCUUCGGGUUGUAAAGCCCUUUUGUUGGGAAAGAAAAGCAGCAGGUUAAUACCCCGCUGUUCUGACGGUACCCAAAGAAUAAGCCCCGGCUAACUUCGUG